rnacentral:rRNA from 1 species
CGAAACCCGGUGAUCUAGCCAUGGGCAGGUUGAAGGUUGGGUAACACUAACUGGAGGACCGAACCGACUAAUGUUGAAAAAUUAGCGGAUGACUUGUGGCUGGGGGUGAAAGGCCAAUCAAACCGGGAGAUAGCUGGUUCUCCCCGAAAGCUAUUUAGGUAGCGCCUCGUGAAUUCAUCUCCGGGGGUAGAGCACUGUUUCGGCAAGGGGGUCAUCCCGACUUACCAACCCGAUGCAAACUGCGAAUACCGGAGAAUGUUAUCACGGGAGACACACGGCGGGUGCUAACGUCCGUCGUGAAGAGGGAAACAACCCAGACCGCCAGCUAAGGUCCCAAAGUCAUGGUUAAGUGGGAAACGAUGUGGGAAGGCCCAGACAGCCAGGAUGUUGGCUUAGAAGCAGCCAUCAUUUAAAGAAAGCGUAAUAGCUCACUGGUCGAGUCGGCCUGCGCGGAAGAUGUAACGGGGCUAAACCAUGCACCGAAGCUGCGGCAGCGACACUGUGUGUUGUUGGGUAGGGGAGCGUUCUGUAAGCCUGUGAAGGUGUGCUGUGAGGCAUGCUGGAGGUAUCAGAAGUGCGAAUGCUGACAUAAGUAACGAUAAAGCGGGUGAAAAGCCCGCUCGCCGGAAGACCAAGGGUUCCUGUCCAACGUUAAUCGGGGCAGGGUGAGUCGACCCCUAAGGCGAGGCCGAAAGGCGUAGUCGAUGGGAAACAGGUUAAUAUUCCUGUACUUGGUGUUACUGCGAAGGGGGGACGGAGAAGGCUAUGUUGGCCGGGCGACGGUUGUCCCGGUUUAAGCGUGUAGGCUGGUUUUCCAGGCAAAUCCGGAAAAUCAAGGCUGAGGCGUGAUGACGAGGCACUACGGUGCUGAAGCAACAAAUGCCCUGCUUCCAGGAAAAGCCUCUAAGCAUCAGGUAACAUCAAAUCGUACCCCAAACCGACACAGGUGGUCAGGUAGAGAAUACCAAGGCGCUUGAGAGAACUCGGGUGAAGGAACUAGGCAAAAUGGUGCCGUAACUUCGGGAGAAGGCACGCUGAUAUGUAGGUGAAGUCCCUCGCGGAUGGAGCUGAAAUCAGUCGAAGAUACCAGCUGGCUGCAACUGUUUAUUAAAAACACAGCACUGUGCAAACACGAAAGUGGACGUAUACGGUGUGACGCCUGCCCGGUGCCGGAAGGUUAAUUGAUGGGGUCAGCGCAAGCGAAGCUCUUGAUCGAAGCCCCGGUAAACGGCGGCCGUAACUAUAACGGUCCUAAGGUAGCGAAAUUCCUUGUCGGGUAAGUUCCGACCUGCACGAAUGGCGUAAUGAUGGCCAGGCUGUCUCCACCCGAGACUCAGUGAAAUUGAACUCGCUGUGAAGAUGCAGUGUACCCGCGGCAAGACGGAAAGACCCCGUGAACCUUUACUAUAGCUUGACACUGAACAUUGAGCCUUGAUGUGUAGGAUAGGUGGGAGGCUUUGAAGUGUGGACGCCAGUCUGCAUGGAGCCGACCUUGAAAUACCACCCUUUAAUGUUUGAUGUUCUAACGUGGACCCGUGAUCCGGGUUGCGGACAGUGUCUGGUGGGUAGUUUGACUGGGGCGGUCUCCUCCUAAAGAGUAACGGAGGAGCACGAAGGUUGGCUAAUCCUGGUCGGACAUCAGGAGGUUAGUGCAAUGGCAUAAGCCAGCUUGACUGCGAGCGUGACGGCGCGAGCAGGUGCGAAAGCAGGUCAUAGUGAUCCGGUGGUUCUGAAUGGAAGGGCCAUCGCUCAACGGAUAAAAGGUACUCCGGGGAUAACAGGCUGAUACCGCCCAAGAGUUCAUAUCGACGGCGGUGUUUGGCACCUCGAUGUCGGCUCAUCACAUCCUGGGGCUGAAGUAGGUCCCAAGGGUAUGGCUGUUCGCCAUUUAAAGUGGUACGCGAGCUGGGUUUAGAACGUCGUGAGACAGUUCGGUCCCUAUCUGCCGUGGGCGCUGGAGAACUGAGGGGGGCUGCUCCUAGUACGAGAGGACCGGAGUGGACGCAUCACUGGUGUUCGGGUUGUCAUGCCAAUGGCACUGCCCGGUAGCUAAAUGCGGAAGAGAUAAGUGCUGAAAGCAUCUAAGCACGAAACUUGCCCCGAGAUGAGUUCUCCCUGACCCUUUAAGGGUCCUGAAGGAACGUUGAAGACGACGACGUUGAUAGGCCGGGUGUGUAAGCGCAGCGAUGCGUUGAGCUAACCGGUACUAAUGAACCGUGAGGCUUAACCUUACAACGCCGAAGGUGUUU